CCCACAUGAAAUAUGACAGAACCAUUGCACUUGUUCAGUACUAAUGUGAAAGAGAAUAAAAAGCAAUGAAGACAUCUUAGCAAAUGUUGGCUACUCAGAUGCAUUCUGAUAUCAUUGUAACAUAAUAAUUGCUUAGUGCACUCUAGUUAAAUCAUGGUUGAAAUGUUUCAGACACAAUGUUCUUGCAAAAAGUACAUGUUGUUGUCUUUAUGUGCCUUAAGUGCCUUUAAAAAAUAGGGAGUCAUUACAGCAACAGGAUACAGACCAGAUGCAACAGAAAUCCUGGAGAAGUCUCUGUAGAGCCAUCAUUCUCUUUUUGACAUACUGGCAGCAGCCGAAUGUUAUUAACUUAUUCACAUGGGAGGCCAUUGACCUCUCCACACCUGGCUGUAACAUCUAUUCUUCAUGAGAAACGCCAAAUAACAGUUUGCAAAGAGAUGCUUGGGAGUGCAUAGGCAAUACCUGCUGAAAUCCCAGUAGAUUUCCAGUAGUUGGGAGAACCUCAGUGCCCGGGAUAGCUCCUUAUGUCUCCCAUGUAAGUAGAAGAAGUAGAUUCGUUUUGAGAAAUACAGUGGAACCGCGACUUACAUACGCAUUGUCUCACAGAUGUUCCACGUUGCGUCCGUGGCAAACCCAAAAGUAAACACUGGGUUUGCCACAAUUCACGCAUGCGCAGCAAUGGCUUCUGCCAUCUGUGCAUGUGCAGAAGCGCGCUACCGCCAAAUACGCACGCACACAAGAUGCCUCUUCUAGCAUCCUAUUUCGACCCCCUGACGGACCUCC